GAUGAACGCUGGCGGCGUGCCUAAUACAUGCAAGUCGAGCGAACGGACGAGAAGCUUGCUUCUCUGAUGUUAGCGGCGGACGGGUGAGUAACACGUGGAUAACCUACCUAUAAGACUGGGAUAACUUCGGGAAACCGGAGCUAAUACCGGAUAAUAUUUUGAACCGCAUGGUUCAAAAGUGAAAGACGGUCCUGCUGUCACUUAUAGAUGGAUCCGCGCUGCAUUAGCUAGUUGGUAAGGUAACGGCUUACCAAGGCAACGAUGCAUAGCCGACCUGAGAGGGUGAUCGGCCACACUGGAACUGAGACACGGUCCGGACUCCUACGGGAGGCAGCAGUAGGGAAUCUUCCGCAAUGGGCGAAAGCCUGACGGAGCAACGCCGCGUGAGUGAUGAAGGUCUUCGGAUCGUAAAACUCUGUUAUUAGGGAAGAACAUAUGUGUAAGUAACUGUGCACAUCUUGACGGUACCUAAUCAGAAAGCCACGGCUAACUACGUG
rnacentral:rRNA from 1 species